rnacentral:rRNA from 1 species
GAUGAACGCUGGCGGCGUGCCUAAUACAUGCAAGUCGAGCGAGCAGACGAGGAGCUUGCUCCUUUGACGUUAGCGGCGGACGGGUGAGUAACACGUGGGUAACCUACCUAUAAGACUGGGAUAACUUCGGGAAACCGGAGCUAAUACCGGAUAAUAUUUCGAACCGCAUGGUUCGAUAGUGAAAGAUGGCUUUGCUAUCACUUAUAGAUGGACCUGCGCCGUAUUAGCUAGUUGGUAAGGUAACGGCUUACCAAGGCAACGAUACGUAGCCGACCUGAGAGGGUGAUCGGCCACACUGGAACUGAGACAGGGUCCAGACUCCUACGGGAGGCAGCAGUAGGGAAUCUUCCGCAAUGGGCGAAAGCCUGACGGAGCAACGCCGCGUGAGUGAUGAAGGUCUUCGGAUCGUAAAACUCUGUUAUUAGGGAAGAACAAACGUGUAAGUAACUGUGCACGUCUUGACGGUACCUAAUCAGAAAGCCACGGCUAACUACGUG